CUUGCAAGCGACGAAGGUCAGUCUCGAAAAGCAACUGAGGAGGAAAGGAAGGAUUGUACACUCCCACACCAAGUCCUUGACAAGAAGCGAAGAAAUUCUCUGCAGUUCGGUUCAAAGUUUUAUACGAAUACAAAAUCCGCCUGAAAAUUACUGACGUUGCCGACAGAAGUAAACAACACACUUCACUUACCAUGAACAAAGUCCUGCUUCUGACGAUGGUGUUGGCGGUCCUCGUAGGCAUGACGUGGACCUUCCCUCAGAUCAUAACACAGCGAAGGAGGUUUCCUGGCGAGAGGCGCCUGGGAACGAUCAAUUACGGGCAGUAUCGCUUCGGCAAGCAUGGCUACCAGCGGAAAUGUCACCCGAGAAAAAGAAGAUGUUUCUUUUAACUUGAAAACUGCGAGAGAGCGAAUUUUCCUCCAAAAAGGCCCAUGCUUAGGAACGCAGAUUGUGUCGCCUCGCCCUAGUGCAGCCACGGGUCUUGGGUACAAAUUAUACUAUCCUGCAGCCAUGGUCUAAUCUCUGGGGCCGGCAAACAAGGAGAGGCAAUACUCUGAUAAGUGUGUGUUAGCUAUGAUGUGCUUGAUUGGAAAAGAAAAUUAAGUUAGAAAAAAAAAAAAUCAUUACCAGAAUCGUUAUCACUUGUCAUUUUUUUACGAGAAAAACAAGUUACAAAAAAGUAAGAAUAGUAAUCAUAUCAGUAUCACCAUUAUAGUUAUCACACGAUUUUUAAAAAGAGAAGUAAGACGCAACGAGUAAAUGAUAAUAACAAUGACAUCAGUAUCACCAUUAUCGUUAUCACAUGAAUUUUUGAAAAUGGAAAAUUAGAAACAAAGGAUGAAUAAAAAUAUUAAUGACACCAGUAUCACCACGAUCUUCAUCAUUUAUAAAUUUUCACAAGAAAAGUAAGUUAGAAACACGAAUAAAUUGAACAUUAUGGUAUCAGUAGUACUAGCUAAGCUUACGUUGCGUCGUUAACAACACCGUCUUUCUUGGAACUUAGCUCUUUUCCUAUAGUUCUUAAGGAUAUCUGGAGUUUGUUUGUACAGAUAACUUAUAUUAACUGAUUUAUGUUAAAUCGUUAAAUCAUUGUAUUUUAGUUGGUAUUUACUACUAUAUUAUCUUUGUUUGAUGUUAACUAUUGUUGUUGAAAUAUUAUGUUUUUUUUUCACUUAAAUCGGUGUCUAUUUUAAUCACUGGUUUUACAUUGUGAAAACAAAUCAAGGAAUAUUUUUAUAAAGUAUAUUUAUACAUAUAUUUUAUAAUUUCCCCUUUGAUUCAAGAUGGAAUAAAAUGCUGUAUGUAAAAUAAUAAUAAUAAUAAUAAUAAUAAUAAUAAUAAUAAUAAUAAUAAUAAUAAUGAAAUAGAACAAAAUAAAAAUACUUAAUACAUCUAUCCAUCUAUUAUCUCACACUUCUAUAAGAAUCAACUCCUCUGCAUUGUUAGGUUAUGUCCUCAAACGAAUUAUAAAUUUAUACCGUUGUAUGAGCGUUCGACCCCUUAAUUCGCUUGUGUCAUCACUAACCUUAUUCCUCAAUAGUAACAGGUGUAUGACCAUUACUUUCACAGUAUUUCUGAAAAUGUUCUUAAUUGUAGUCAGCAACCCCCCCCCCCUCUAGAAUCUGCUCUAUUUUUUUUUUUUUUUUUUUUUUUUUUUUUUUUAUGUCAUGCUUGCUUGCCUUAGCUAGUUAUCAAAGUUUAUUUGUUUUCCUUCUCAUCAUAAUUUAUAUAGGAUUUAUAAGUUACCCUUAUUUUUCCAUUGAGUUUCAAGUGUUUACUUUGCUCCAAACAAUCACAAUUCAUGAAUCAUACGAUGAUGUUUUCUGCAUUAAAGGUAAAUCCGUGUAA
rnacentral:lncRNA from 1 species